rnacentral:tRNA from 1 species
GAAAAAUUAGUUAAAUAAAUAAUAUUAAUUUGUCAAAUUAAAGUUAAUUUUAAAUUAUUUUUUA